rnacentral:tRNA from 1 species
AGGGAUUUAGCUCAGUGGUCCUGCCAUCUGCCUCAAAAGCAGAAGGACCCAAGUUCGAUUCCUGGUACCCCCC